UACGUAGGCAGCGAGCGUUGUUCGGAAUUACUGGGCGUAAAGAGUGUGUAGGCGGUGCUCUAAGUUCGGUGUGAAAUCUCCCGGCUUAACUGGGAGGGUGCGCCGGAAACUGGAGUGCUCGAGCGUGGGAGAGGAAAGCGGAAUUCCUGGUGUAGCGGUGAAAUGCGUAGAUAUCUGGAGGAACACCGGUGGCGAAGGCGGCAUCCUGGACCGGUAUUGACGCUGAGGCGCGAAAGCGUGGGGAGCAAACAGG
rnacentral:rRNA from 1 species